rnacentral:rRNA from 1 species
GAUGAACGCUGGCGGCGUGCCUAAUACAUGCAAGUCGAGCGAACAGACGAGGAGCUUGCUCCUCUGACGUUAGCGGCGGACGGGUGAGUAACACGUGGAUAACCUACCUAUAAGACUGGGAUAACUUCGGGAAACCGGAGCUAAUACCGGAUAAUAUAUUGAACCGCAUGGUUCAAUAGUGAAAGACGGUUUUGCUGUCACUUAUAGAUGGAUCCGCGCCGCAUUAGCUAGUUGGUAAGGUAACGGCUUACCAAGGCCACGAUGCGUAGCCGACCUGAGAGGGUGAUCGGCCACACUGGAACUGAGACACGGUCCAGACUCCUACGGGAGGCAGCAGUAGGGAAUCUUCCGCAAUGGGCGAAAGCCUGACGGAGCAACGCCGCGUGAGUGAUGAAGGUCUUCGGAGCGUAAAACUCUGUUAUUAGGGAAGAACAAAUGUGUAAGUAACUAUGCACGUCUUGACGGUACCUAAUCAGAAAGCCACGGCUAACUACGUG